GAGAGAGAGAGAGAUCUCAGAGAGAGAAUCAAUCAGAUUGUUCGUGGAUAGCGAUUGUAGUUAAAGAGAGUUUUAAAUCGAAAGUCGCAAUUUUCAAUUCAAUUGUGUGGGUUUGGUUUUCUCGUAAACAAAAACACCAUCAUAAAAAGGUACAGCUGAGAGAGAAAGGUAGACGAGUA